rnacentral:rRNA from 1 species
GACGAACGCUGGCGGCGUGCUUAACACAUGCAAGUCGAACGGAAAGGCCCUGCUUUUGUGGGGUGCUCGAGUGGCGAACGGGUGAGUAACACGUGAGUAACCUGCCCUUGACUUUGGGAUAACUUCAGGAAACUGGGGCUAAUACCGGAUAGGAGCUCCUGCUUCAUGGUGGUGGUUGGAAAGUUUCGGCGGUUGGGGAUGGCCUCGCGGCUUAUCAGCUUGUUGGUGGGGUAGUGGCUUACCAAGGCUUUGACGGGUAGCCGGCCUGAGAGGGUGACCGGCCACAUUGGGACUGAGAUACGGCCCAGACUCCUACGGGAGGCAGCAGUGGGGAAUAUUGCACAAUGGGCGGAAGCCUGAUGCAGCAACGCCGCGUGCGGGAUGACGGCCUUCGGGUUGUAAACCGCUUUCGCCUGUGACGAAGCGUGAGUGACGGUAAUGGGUAAAGAAGCACCGGCUAACUACGUG